CAGUCGAACGGGUGGUAGCAAUACCACUAGUGGCGCACGGGUGCGUAACGCGUAACCAACCUACCCGAAUCUGGGGGAUAGCCCGCCGAAAGGCGGAUUAAUACCGCAUAAAACUGCAGCACGGCAUCGUGUAACAGUUAAAGAUUUAUUGGAUUCGGAUGGGGUUGCGUGCCAUUAGCUAGUUGGCGGGGUAACGGCCCACCAAGGCGACGAUGGCUAGGGGAGCUGAGAGGCUGGUCCCCCACACGGGCACUGAGAUACGGGCCCGACUCCUACGGGAGGCAGCAGUAGGGAAUAUUGGGCAAUGGUCGAGAGACUGACCCAGCCAUGCCGCGUGCAGGAUGAAGGCUUUCUGAGUCGUAAACUGCUUUUACCAGGGAAGAAAAAAGGGGAUGCGUCCUCUACUGACGGUACCUGGUGAAUAAGCACCGGCUAACUCCGUGCCAGCGGCCGCGGUAAUACGGAGGGUGCAAGCGUUGUCCGGAUUUAUUGGGUUUAAAGGGUGCGUAGGCGGCUGAUUAAGUCUGGGGUGAAAGCCCGUUGCUCAACAACGGAACUGCCCUGGAAACUGGUUAGCUUGAGUACAGACGAGGGUGGCGGAAUGGAUACUGUAGCGGUGAAAUGCAUAGAUAGUAUCCAGAACCCCGAUUGCGAAGGCAGCUGCCUAGACUGUAACUGACGCUGAGGCACGAAAGCGUGGGGAGCGAAC
rnacentral:rRNA from 1 species